rnacentral:rRNA from 1 species
CAGGCCUAAUACAUGCAAGUCGAGGGGUAAGAUCCGCCUUUGGCGGAAACACGACCGGCGCACGGGUGCGUAACGCGUAUGCAACCUACCUCUAACAGGGGGAUAGCCCCGAGAAAUCGGGAUUAAUACCCCAUAACAAUCGUAAUUCGCAUGGGUUACGGUUUAAAGCUCCGGCGGUUAGAGAUGGGCAUGCGUGACAUUAGCUAGUUGGUGAGGUAACGGCUCACCAAGGCGACGAUGUCUAGGGGUUCUGAGAGGAUGAUCCCCCACACUGGUACUGAGACACGGACCAGACUCCUACGGGAGGCAGCAGUAAGGAAUAUUGCGCAAUGGAGGCAACUCUGACGCAGCCAUGCCGCGUGCAGGAAGACGGCCUUAUGGGUUGUAAACUGCUUUUAUAAAGGAAUAAACCCCCGAACGUGUUCGGGGUUGAAGGUACUUUAUGAAUAAGCACCGGC